GAUGAAGAACGUAGUGAAAUGCGAUAAGUAAUGUGAAUUGCAGAAUUCCGUGAAUCAUCGAAUCUUUGAACGCACAUUGCGCCCCCUGGCAUUCCGGGGGGCAUGCCUGUCCGAGCGUCAUUUCUGCCCUCCAGCCCGGCUGGGUGUUGGGCGCUGUCCCCCCGGGGACACGCCCCAAAGGCAGUGGCGGCGCCGCGUCGGGUCCUCGAGCGUAUGGGGCUUUGUCACCCGCUCGGGACGGACUCGUCGGCGCUGGUCUUCCUCCAGGCGACUCUUCGGGGCUCGUCUUCCUUCGGUUGACCUCGGAUCAGGUAGGGUUACCCGCUGAACUUAAGCAUAUCAAUAAGCGGAGGA
rnacentral:misc_RNA from 1 species